GACGAACGCUGGCGGCGUGCUUAACACAUGCAAGUCGAACGACGUGGCGAACGGGUGAGUAAUACGUGGGUAACCUGCCCUCCUUUUUGGGAUAAGCCUUGGAAACGGGGUCUAAUACCGCAUAAAUGGGGAUGGGCUCGCGGCCUAUCAGUUGGUUGGGGGGGUGCUGGCCUACCAAGGCGGUGACGGGUAGCCGGCCUGAGAGGGUGACCGGGCACAUUGGGACGGAGAUACGGCCCAGAUGACUAAGGGGGGGGGAAGUGGGGGAAAUGGCACAAUGGGCGAAAGCCUGAUGCAGCGACGCCGCGUGGGGGAUUAAGGCUUUCGGGUUGUAAAACUAUUGCGCAAGCGAACGGGGAGGUGGAGAAGAAGCGCCGGCUAACUACGUGCCAGCAGCCGCGGUAAUUC
rnacentral:rRNA from 1 species